UACAGAGGGUGCGAGCGUUAAUCGGAAUUACUGGGCGUAAAGCGUGCGCAGGCGGUUGUGCAAGACAGAUGUGAAAUCCCCGGGCUUAACCUGGGAACUGCAUUUGUGACUGCACGGCUAGAGUGUGUCAGAGGGGGGUAGAAUUCCACGUGUAGCAGUGAAAUGCGUAGAUAUGUGGAGGAAUACCGAUGGCGAAGGCAGCCCCCUGGGAUAACACUGACGCUCAUGCACGAAAGCGUGGGGAGCAAACAGG
rnacentral:rRNA from 1 species